CUCUCUCACAAAUUUUGAUAAAUUUUAAUUAAAAGUGCAAUUUUUUUUGUUAUAUUUGUCAUAAAAAAUAAAUUUAGUGUAUAAUUUCUUACAAACUAUUCAUUAAAAAUUGAUUUUUUGUUUGAAAUGACUUCUCAUAGUCAAGUAUUUUUGUGGGUUGAGCCCGUAACUGAAGAUGAAAAAGCUUUAACCAACAUGUACAAUCACACGUCAAUUUGUGUUCAAUUUGAAGAUGGGCUGAUGUAUUUGUUUUCGUAUAAUGAACAUGGAUUGUUGGUAUCUCCAAUGACCGAAACACCUUCGAAUCUGAGAGAAAAUAUUUUUUUGGGAACAACAACCAAAACCUUGGUACAAAUUAUUGAACAUACAGAGCAAUUAUUGAAUGGAAAAUUCAAAAAAUACAAUGCCUUGACUGCGAAUUGCAAUCACUUUAGCAACCAUUUAUGCAAAUUUCUCUGCGACAAAUCCAUUCCUCAAAAACACGUUGAUCAAGCUUUAAAUCAUACAGUCGCCAGCACAAUCGUCAUGGGGGGCAUUGUCGGAGUUGGUGCUGUUGUUGUCGGAAUUGCCAAAGUUGCUGCUGUAGUCUUCAGAGCUUUAAGACACUAAUUUUUUUUUUUUAAAUAAAAUUUUUUUUUUUCCAUCAAAUUUAAAAUUUAUUUGUAUUAGUAAAAAAAUCUCUUUGCUCAAAAGAGAGCAAAACGAGAAUGACUUUUACACACAAAUGCAAAUUUUGUGUCAGUCUUGGAUCAAAACCACGAUGAGCGACGUCGAAAUACAUUUCGAGCCGGUAAAUGACGGCAAAAAUCAACUUCCUUUCGUAAAAGUCGACGACAAAGUCUUCGUUCAUGAUAACAAUGCUUUGCAUACUAUUCCAGCGAAAAGCUUUCCGAAACGGAAUUCAUGGGAAAAAGUUGGAAAAAGUCUCUUCUCAGCUGGCAACGCGAUGAUCAAAGGAUAUCAAUUGAUGGAAAAUCGAAAAAAUCUUAAUCCAACUGAAUUCGCGAAGGAGUUUCUGAAUAUUUUGACAGAAACAAAAAUCGAUCUUGAAUGGCAGGAUUGGAAAAAUGUAGCAGUUGACAUUAAAGAUGUGCUGCUCAAAAGUAGCGAUUGUUCAAGAGGCUGUUUUCAAUCAUCAGGCAAUUUUUUGAAGUAACAUGUCAAGAGAGAUAUUUUUUUGCAUUUGUAUUGAGAGAGCGGCAAAAUAUUUGAGUGUAAUGAAAUUGGCGAUUUUUUAUGUAUUUCACAAUAAAAGUUACUCGCGAGCCGUCAAGAAACGAAAAAAAAUUGCGUCUAAUAUUUUUUUGAGUUUUUUUUUAAUUAAUUAUGUCUCCUCGGAAUAAGGUUUAUUUGUUGGUUGAGCCUGCAGGAGAUGGCAGUUGUUCAAGUAUUUUUAAACAUACGUCGGUUUUUGUGGAAUUUGAAGAUGGAUUGAAAUAUGAAUUUUCUUACAACGAGAAUGGCGUGAGAUAUUCUGCAUUUGAUGAAAUGCCUUCCGAUAGAGACGAAAUCAUCUACAAAGGAGAAACAGACAAAACCUUAUUACAAAUUAUUGAAGAAACUCAGAAGAUGGUAGAAACCAAGUUCAAGGAAUAUGAAACACUUUACCACAAUUGCAAUCAUUUCAGUGAUGCACUUUUGCAAUUUUUGUGCAAAGAAAAAAUUCCUACGUCUUUGCGACAGUCCUCCAAUUACAUGACGGGCGCUUAUGUUGGAGCUCUUGCAGUUGGAACUGUACUUGGCGGUCCCAUUGGUUUGGUAGCUGCGCAUGUUUUUUCAUCUCCUGUUCUCUUAAUGUAUCCAAAAUAUAAAGCUAAAAAAUAAAUAAAAUAAAAAUAAAUAAAUAAUUUUUUAAAAUUAUUUUUGGAAAAAAAAUUUUUUUAGGAGGAAAAAUUAAAUAUCUU